rnacentral:rRNA from 1 species
AUUGAACGCUGGCGGCAGGCCUAACACAUGCAAGUCGAGCGGAUGCAGGGAGCUUGCUCCUGGAUUCAGCGGCGGACGGGUGAGUAAUGCCUAGGAAUCUGCCUGGUAGUGGGGGAUAACGUCCGGACACGGGCGCUAAUACCGCAUACGUCCUGAGGGAGAAAGUGGGGGAUCUUCGGACCUCACGCUCUCAGAUGAGCCUAGGUCGGAUUAGCUAGUUGGUGGGGUAAAGGCGUACCAAGGCGACGAUCCGUAACUGGUCUGAGAGGAUGAUCAGUCACACUGGAACUGAGACACGGUCCAGACUCCUACGGGAGGCAGCAGUGGGGAAUAUUGGACAAUGGGCGAAAGCCUGAUCCAGCCAUGCCGCGUGUGUGAAGAAGGUCUUCGGAUUGUAAAGCACUUUUAGUUGGGAGGAAGGGCAGUAAGUUAAUACCUUGCUGUUUUGACGUUACCAACAGAAUAAGCACCGGCUAACUUCGUG